ensembl:snoRNA SNORD15 Small nucleolar RNA SNORD15
CUUCAGUGAUGAUACGAUGACGAGUCGGAAACGAGGCCGUCCAGCUCUGGGACCGACCGGUCCAGGGCCACGUUUUGUGGUUCUGGUCCGGUUCCUCAGAGCGGGCGGUCUUUCUCGAUUGAAGACAUAUGAGGCAUUUGUCUGAGAAGG